CUUCAAUUGCGUUUCAGAUAUUCACAAAGUCUAUCCACCUUUGUAAUUAACACAUUAUGUGUUAUGUGUUUCUUAUACCAUUAUAGUAUCUGUAUUAUAUUACACAUUGUCACUGACACAUUUCUGAUACAGGGAAAAAAAAUAGCAUGAUUGCUUUAGUAAUUAUAAUUUUCGGUCCAUGCACCACAUUCCUGGAAGUCCAGAAUAUAGCAAGAAUUCUUUGUUGUUUGAUUCAAUGGAGCCAUUUCACGUUUUGAUUGGUAUAGUUAUACCAAAAGAGCAAGGAGUACGACGGUAGAUCACAUCUGCAACAGAACCAUUACAGAUUCCUUGUUGUAUCAAUGUCGCUGUGUUUAUGUUUACAGGAG